rnacentral:rRNA from 1 species
AUUGAACGCUGGCGGAAUGCUUUACACAUGCAAGUCGAGCGGCAGCGCGGGGGCAACCCUGGCGGCGAGCGGCGAACGGGUGAGUAAUGUAUCGGAACGUACCCAGUCGUGGGGGAUAACUAUCCGAAAGGAUAGCUAAUACCGCAUACGACCUGAGGGUGAAAGCGGGGGACCGUAAGGCCUCGCGCGAUUGGAGCGGCCGAUAUCGGAUUAGCUAGUUGGUGAGGUAAAGGCUCACCAAGGCGACGAUCCGUAGCUGGUCUGAGAGGACGACCAGCCACACUGGAACUGAGACACGGUCCAGACUCCUACGGGAGGCAGCAGUGGGGAAUUUUGGACAAUGGGGGCAACCCUGAUCCAGCCAUUCCGCGUGAGUGAAGAAGGCCUUCGGGUUGUAAGGCUCUUUCGGCAGGAACGAAACGGUCUCACCUAAUACGUGGGGCUAAUGACGGUACCUGAGGAAGAAGCACCGGCUAACUACGUGCCAGCCGCCGCGGUAA